UGUACUUUAUCACUCAGCUAUAAUAUCCUGCCUACAUUCAGUGUGCUGCCUGCGCUGUUCAUAGUGUGCCCUGCGCUGAUGAAUGGCAGGAAAAGUCUAAGGCAUAUUGGUACACCAUAUAUUUUUUCCAGGGUGGGGGUGCCCACAAAGAGGGCUCUGAGUGCCACCUCUGGCACCCGUGCCAUAGGUUCGCCAACACUGAUAUAGGACAUAUAAAGAACAGCGAUU